rnacentral:rRNA from 1 species
UGGGGAAUAUUGCACAAUGGGCGCAAGCCUGAUGCAGCCAUGCCGCGUGUAUGAAGAAGGCCUUCGGGUUGUAAAGUACUUUCAGUCGGGAGGAAGGUGGUAAGGUUAAUAACCUUGGCAAUUGACGUUACCGACAGAAGAAGCACCGGCUAACUCCGUUCCAGCAGCCGCGGUAAUACGGAGGGUGCAAUCGUUAAUCGGAAUUACUGGGCGUAAAGCGCACGCAGGCGGUUGAUUGAGUCAGAUGUGAAAUCCCCGGGCUUAACCCGGGAAUUGCAUCUGAAACGGGUCAGCUAGAGUCUUGUAGAGGGGGGUAGAAUGCCAUGUGGAGCGGUGAAAUGCGUAGAGAUGUGGAGGAAUACCGGUGGCGAAGGCGGCCCCCUGGACAAAGACUGAAGCUCAGGUGCGAAAGCGUGGGGAGCAAACAGG